CCUACGGGAGGCAGCAGUGGGGAAUAUUGGACAAUGGGGGGAACCNUGAUCCAGCCAUGCCGCGUGUGUGAAGAAGGCCUUUUGGUUGUAAAGCACUUUAAGCGAGGAGGAGGCUACCGAGAUUAAUACUCUUGGAUAGUGGACGUUACUCGCAGAAUAAGCACCGGCUAACUCUGUGCCAGCAGCCGCGGUAAUACAGAGGGUGCAAGCGUUAAUCGGAUUUACUGGGCGUAAAGCGCGCGUAGGUGGCCAAUUAAGUCAAAUGUGAAAUCCCCGAGCUUAACUUGGGAAUUGCAUUCGAUACUGGUUGGCUAGAGUAUGGGAGAGGAUGGUAGAAUUCCAGGUGUAGCGGUGAAAUGCGUAGAGAUCUGGAGGAAUACCGAUGGCGAAGGCAGCCAUCUGGCCUAAUACUGACACUGAGGUGCGAAAGCAUGGGGAGCAAACAGGAUUAGAUACCCUGGUAGUCCAUGCCGUAAACGAUGUCUACUAGCCGUUGGGGCCUUUGAGGCUUUAGUGGCGCAGCUAACGCGAUAAGUAGACCGCCUGGGGAGUACGGUCGCAAGACUAAAACUCAAAUGAAUUGACGGGG
rnacentral:rRNA from 1 species